GAGGGGAGGUCAAACCAGCGAGAACUGCUAAUUCCUGCAUCUGAGUAUAAAACCUCAGUCCCCUUA
rnacentral:tRNA from 1 species